ensembl:lncRNA
GGUACGGACUCAGUUUGUGAUCUAGAGGAGGUAAAUGAGUUUCUGGAUCAGACUUUUGGGAAAUCUGUCAAAUUGGCAGAUUAUUUUGAUGUUGAUAAGUUUGUGAGGUCAGCUGUGAUGUUACAGAAGACGGUGGGGUUAGACCAGCUGAGUGAGAAGAAGCGGUUUCGCUUGAGGAAAUUUAUUACUGCUGUUGCAGCAGCAAAAGGUGGUAGGAAACGUGUUCAGGUUAAGAGAAGAAAAAAAAAAAAUGACGAUGAUCAUGCUUCAUAGGGUGUCUUUUUUCUUGUUGGUUUCUCUGUGGUUUCUUCUGCUUUUCUUUUCUCUUUUCUACAUGGAGGUACUAAGGGUAGGUUCUCUCAAUAUGAAUGGGGGAAGGGACAGGAAUAAGAGGGCUUGGGUAUUAGAAGUAAUAAAACAGAAAAGGCUUAAUGUAGUUUUCCUACAGGAGACACAUAGCGAUGAGGAAAAUGAGGUUGACUGGGGUAUGUGGUGGGAGGGGCAGCAUGUACUCAGUCAUGGUACUAAUUUCAGUGCUGGGGUGGCAAUAUUGUUUUCCUCAGGCUUAGGAGUGACUGUGGUAUCUACAACAGAGAUUGUCAAGGGUCAGGUUUUAUUGGUCAAGGUGGAUGUUAUGGGUUUUUUUUUUUUUUUUUUUUGAAUGUUUAUGCUCCUAAUGAGGGUACAGAGCGUAUUGCUGUAUUUGAUCAACUAAAGGAAAUGUUAAGACAGUGUGACCAAGAGGGUUGUAUGGUUUUAGGGGUGACUGGAACUGUACAGUGGAUUUUACUGUUGAUCGCACCGCUGAAGAACCUCACCUGCGGUCAGCCACUUGCCUGUCUGGGCUAUUAACUGAGUUUGAGCUUUCUGAUGUGUGGAGAGUAAGGAAUGCCAAAGUUAGGCAGUACACAUGGCUAAAAAUUAAUGAAGGUCGUGUCAGUGCAGCACGGUUAGACAGGUUGUAUGUAUCUGAGCAAUACUGUAGUAGGGUUGGAAAGUGUGCCAUUACUCCUGUGGGUUUCUCUGAUCAUCAUAUGGUUACUGUUGAUAUUCACUUGUCCUGUCCAAGAAGGUCAUCACCUUACUGGUAUUUUAAUGUUAAAUUGUUACAUGAUGUCAUGUUUUGUGACAGGUUUUUGUUGUUUUGGGAAAAAUGGAGGGGUAUAAAAGGGAAUUUUGAGUCCUUGAGACAAUGGUGGGAGGUUGGGAAGGCCCAAAUACGAGUUUUUUGUCAACAGUAUACUGCUCUGUCUCAAACUGAAUUUAAAGAGACUAUCAAGGCCCUUGAACAGGACAUCAAAUCUAUUGAAUUGAAGCUGCUCACUCAGAAUGACCCUGGACUAGUCAUGAACUUACAGGACAAGAGACAUGAACUGAGGUCGUUUCUGCAUGAAAGAGUGAAGGGUGCCUUGAUUAGGUCUCGUUUCGCUUCAAGGAUAUGGAUGCUCAUAGUGCUUUUUUUUUUACCUAGGAAAGUCGACAUUUCAAC